rnacentral:rRNA from 1 species
UGGGGAAUAUUGGACAAUGGGCGCAAGCCUGAUCCAGCCAUGCCGCGUGGGUGAAGAAGGCCUUCGGGUUGUAAAGCCCUUUUGUCCGGAAAGAAAAGCAUUCGGUUAAUACCCGGGUGUGAUGACGGUACCGGAAGAAUAAGCACCGGCUAACUUCGUGCCAGCAGCCGCGGUAAUACGAAGGGUGCAAGCGUUACUCGGAAUUACUGGGCGUAAAGCGUGCGUAGGUGGUUCGUUAAGUCUGUCGUGAAAUCCCCGGGCUCAACCUGGGAAUGGCGAUGGAUACUGGCGGGCUAGAGUGCGGUAGAGGAGAGUGGAAUUCCCGGUGUAGCAGUGAAAUGCGUAGAGAUCGGGAGGAACAUCAGUUGCGAAGGCGGCUCUCUGGACCAGCACUGACACUGAGGCACGAAAGCGUGGGGAGCAAACAGG